GUGUGGAAAGCGGCAAGUGGGUGCCUUCCGCAGGGUACAGCACAGGGUGGGCUGCCGUCAGCCUCAGCAGGCUCGGGCAGGCCUCGUGAGAAUGUAGGACGUAAGCGUUUUGGGAGGUUCGGAAAGCGGACUGCAGAGCCCCUUGCCUGCAGCUUUGGUUUGCGUCCUGGCUCCGGCCUUACUCGUGUUUCCCCCACAAGAAUGGCUUCCCUCAGUCUUUCCUGAAGUUGGUGAGGUUUGGACAUAUUAGUAGUAUUGUUAUUUUUCUUAUCAUCAUUUUGAGAGUCCACUGCGUGUAAGCAUUGGUGGUCCUGCGCAGGGGGCCAUGCAGAAAGCCUUGAGUUAGAAGCUGGAGGAAGGAGGGCUUAUAGAUGCUUGCGGAACGUCCUUAAACCAGCAUGAAAUGUUGGAGGUUGAGGUGAAAAAGACAGCUUUGAUAUCUUCAUGGAAGACUGCAUUAUUUCAUCCCUGAAUCUGGUUCAGUUCCCUUAUUGACUUAUUACUGUGUUAAAAUGCUUGUUUAGCAGUGAUUGUAAAAUAAAAGUAAUUAACAGGUA